rnacentral:rRNA from 1 species
AGUGAACGCUGGCGGUAGGCCUAACACAUGCAAGUCGAACGGCAGCACAGUAAGAGCUUGCUCUUACGGGUGGCGAGUGGCGGACGGGUGAGGAAUACAUCGGAAUCUACUUUUUCGUGGGGGAUAACGUAGGGAAACUUACUCUAAUACCGCAUACGACCUACGGGUGAAAGCAGGGGAUCUUCGGACCUUGCGCGAUUGAAUGAGCCGAUGUCAGAUUAGCUAGUUGGCGGGGUAAAGGCCCACCAAGGCGACGAUCCGUAGCUGGUCUGAGAGGAUGAUCAGCCACACGGGAACUGAGACACGGUCCAGACUCCUACGGGAGGCAGCAGUGGGGAAUAUUGGACAAAGGGGGAAAGCCUGAUACAGCCAUACCGCGUGGGUGAAGAAGGCCUUCGGGUUGUAAAGCCCUUUUGUUGGGAAAGAAAAGCAGCAGGUUAAUACCCCGCUGUUCUGACGGUACCCAAAGAAUAAGCACCGGCUAACUUCGUG